rnacentral:tRNA from 1 species
ACUUAAAUAGCUUAUUAAUUAGAGUAUAGCAGUGAAGUUGCUAGGGAGGUUGGGAAUCUAGACCUUUAAGUA